GUUCCUAACCGAGUUAUGGUUUA
rnacentral:snRNA from 1 species